AGCAGAGUAGGAUUUCGUGCGUUAAGUGUCAUCGGAACGGGGAGUUGUCCGGUGAACGAAAAGGUAAAACUUGCGGUACGAUAUUCGCAUCCCGCUGCU
rfam:Anaerocolumna jejuensis DSM 15929 genome assembly, contig: EJ31DRAFT_scaffold00001.1